rnacentral:rRNA from 1 species
UUAUGGAGAGUUUGAUCCUGGCUCAGGAUGAACGCUGGCGGCGUGCCUAAUACAUGCAAGUCGAGCGAACAGACGAGGAGCUUGCUCCUCUGACGUUAGCGGCGGACGGGUGAGUAACACGUGGGUAACCUACCUAUAAGACUGGGAUAACUCCGGGAAACCGGGGCUAAUACCGGAUAACACAUGAAACC